CCUACGGGAGGCAGCAGUGGGGAAUAUUGGGCAAUGGAGGCAACUCUGACGCAGCAACGCCGCGUGAGUGAUGAAGGUUUUCGGAUUGUAAAGUUCUGUGAUGGGGGAUGAACACAUUGACGGUACACCAAUAGCAAGCCACGGCUAACUACGUGCCAGCAGCCGCGGUAAUACGUAGGUGGCAAGCGUUAUCCGGAAUGACUGGGCGUAAUGGGUGCGUAGGUGGUUUAGUAAGUUUGCGGUGUAAUUCCGCGGCUCAACCUGUAGACUUCAGUUGAAACUGGCUUUCUUGAGUGAAGUAGAGGGUGGCGGAAUUCCGUGUGUAGCGGUGAAAUGCGUAGAUAUUCGGAGGAACACCAGUGGCGAAGGCGACCAUCUGGUCUGUAACUGACGCUGAGGCUCGAAAGUGUGGGUAGCAAACAGGAUUAGAUACCCCAGUAGUC
rnacentral:rRNA from 1 species